rnacentral:rRNA from 1 species
UCCGUUGGUGAACCAGCGGAGGGAUCAUUACCGAGUUUACAACUCCCAAACCCCUGUGAACAUACCUAUAACGUUGCCUCGGCGGGACCGCCCCGGCGCCCUCGCGGCCCGGACCCAGGCGCCCGCCGGAGGACCCCCAAACUCCUGUAUCUUAUGAGUAUCUUCUGAGUGACACAAGCAAAUAAAUCAAAACUUUCAACAACGGAUCUCUUGGUUCUGGCAUCGAUGAAGAACGCAGCGAAAUGCGAUAAGUAAUGUGAAUUGCAGAAUUCAGUGAAUCAUCGAAUCUUUGAACGCACAUUGCGCCCGCCAGUAUUCUGGCGGGCAUGCCUGUCCGAGCGUCAUUUCAACCCUCGAGCCCCCGGGCUUGGUGUUGGGGAUCGGCCCGCCUCCGCGCGGCGCCGGCCCCGAAAUCUAGUGGCGGUCUCGCUGUAGCCUCCUCUGCGUAGUAGCACAACCUCGCACUGGAACGCGGCGCGGCCACGCCGUGAAACCCCCAACUUCUUUUAAGGUUGACCUCGGAUCAGGUAGGAAUACCCGCUGAACUUAAGCAUAUCAAUA